CAUCGUCGGUUCCUCCCUUCUGACGAACCAUGAUGUCAUUUAUUUGGUGUUGUGGGGAAUCAGGACUGUUACUUUGAAAAAAUUAGAGUGUUUAAAGCAGGCUCACGCUUGAAUACAUUAGCAUGGAAUAAUGAAAUAGGACGUUUGAUUCUAUUUUGUUGGUUUCUAGGAUCGACGUAAUGAUUAAUAGGGAUAGUUGGGGGCAUUAGUAUUCAAUUGUCAGAGGUGAAAUUCUUGGAUUUAUUGAAGACUAACUACUGCGAAAGCAUUUGCCAAGGAUGUUUUCAUUAAUCAAGAACGAAAGUUAGGGGAUCGAAGACGAUCAGAUACCGUCGUAGUCUUAACCAUAAACUAUGCCGACUAGGGAUCGGAUGAUGUUAAUUUUUUAAUGACUCAUUCGGCGCCUUACG
rnacentral:rRNA from 1 species